rnacentral:misc_RNA from 1 species
GCAAAAGCCGGGCCGCGUUGUGGUCGACUCAGCCGCCCCGGCGACUACAUAUGCUAUAAGCAGGUCUCCUUUUGGUCGACCACGUUCACUACUACCGAGGCCUGGGUGGGCAGUUCCUUUUGGACGGGCACACCUGUCGGCACCUCCUCGAGUAUUGGUCAAAGGGUCGUGGUCCUUGAUACAGCCGCCGAGGGCGGAGGCGGUGGCGGUGGCGGCGAUAUUACCACGUCUGGUUCACCCGCCAGGUCGCAGUCGAAUCUCCAGAGAAUACUCUCAGGAUGGUCACCUCCUGCGCAUUAAAGACAUUUUCUCCUAUAUUCUUUUCAUCGGCUGACGCUUCAAUUUUCCCGAGAUUUACGGAAUCUGCCUCGUAUCGAUUCGAACGACCAACGUCCAGCUGCGACUUCCCGAAAAAAGAACUUAUUUGUGAUAAAAAUAUGUAUACGUUUGCGAGGAUCGAAAUUCAAUAAAAUAUCGGCGAGCAAAGGCGAGAGGGACUUUCCUGAAACUGUAGUCGCAUAUACCAUAGAUUCUCUUUCUUCCCCCCCUCCCGUUCCAGAGAAAAAGCGAUGUUGUUGCGGAACGAGGGAAUGAACCGUGCGAAACGCAGACCGCUAGUUCGGUGGAAGCGAGGUCCGCGCUUCCGCGCGGAAGCGUUGUGUUUCGAACGUUUCGGUUUUGUCCGAGAGAGUAAACUUGCAUAUAGAACGGUUUGAUACUAAAUUUUUCGGUUUGAAUUUUUGGGCACUAUUUCGGUACUUUCGACUCGGAAACACCGAUUUUCAAU